UGGGGAAUUGUUCACAAUGGGCGCAAGCCUGAUGACGCAACGCCGCGUGGGGGAUGAAGGUCUUCGGAUCGUAAACCCCUGUCGAAUGGGACGAAAGACUCGCGAGUGAAUACUUCGCGAGAGUGACGGUACCGUUAAAGGAAGCCACGGCUAACUCUGUGCCAGCAGCCGCGGUAAUACAGAGGUGGCAAGCGUUGUUCGGAAUUACUGGGCGUAAAGGGCGCGUAGGCGGCCCUCUAAGUCAGACGUGAAAUCCCCCGGCUUAACCUGGGAACUGCGUCUGAUACUGGAGGGCUUGAGUAUGGGAGAGGGAUGUAGAAUUCCAGGUGUAGCGGUGAAAUGCGUAGAUAUCUGGAGGAAUACCGGUGGCGAAGGCGGCAUCCUGGACCAUUACUGACGCUGAGGCGCGAAAGCUAGGGGAGCAAACGGGAUUAGAUACCCCCGUAGUCCCUGAGCGGGCUGGCAAGGCGC
rnacentral:rRNA from 1 species